CUCCUCCCCAAUCCAUCUUCGAGCUUGCGCCCCUCCUCGGUCCCUUCCUUGCACACAGAGCCGCCGCUGCUCCAGCUCGCAAUCGUCCCACCCGGUCUGGCCGUGGGGAAAGGGCUAGCCUAGGGAAACAACGACAACAACCGCGACCUCCCUGGCAGGUCCAUCCUCACUCCCAGGCGGUAUUAGGUGCUCUUUGCUUCUCCUCUCUUCCUCUCCUACCCCUUCCCCAUCAAAUUUUAGUGCUUGAUCUGUUUUUCCUUUGCAAAGGGAUGUAGCCUUGGGCUUUAUCCGUGAGGUUGAAUGAUCUGAUCUACUUUGGAUAUGUUUUCUCUGGCUUCAUGACAUUUUUGCUUGCCAGGUGUUUGACGAAUUGUGUACAUGGGCUAUUCUAUGGUUAUGGUGCUCCAGGAUAUGAGUAUGAAACAACGGAGAUGAUGCUGAUCCCUAGAGCCCUAUUAUGCUUUUGAAUUUCCUUUCGCGCUUACUGUGGAUGUCACAAAUCAGUUGGAUGUAUUGGUUUUCUCUUCUAUUUUGUUAGUCCUUCUCUUCACUAAUUGCCAGGUCUGCAAGUUUGCUAGGUUUAGGAUGCACACCAAAACAACUCACUUGGGUUGCUAAGUUAUAUUUUCUGUCCAUUCCAUUUUCUCCCGAUGCUUUAUGGGGUUAAACAUGGAUUUUUGGUUCCUUUUAAUUUACAAGAGUCCUCACCUCGACCAUGAUGCACCCAUCAACCAGCAGUCUGACCGCACCAUCAAUAACAUUACAGUGGUGUAGCGAUGGGAGAUGAUAGCCAACACCAGAUUUAUCAGUGAUGGGUGGCACGGUGGCAUGGUCCAUCUCUCCCACCAACAUUCGACAUGGAGCCAUGUUUGUCCCACCUUUGGGUUUGACAUAUCAAAACAUCACCUGAGCCUGUUUGGUAUUGGUGCCUCUGUAGAGAUGGGUCGUUUGGAGGUCAAUAUAGAAAUGCUAGGGAGGAUGCAGUGGCAUCAGCGAUGGCAUGGGGAGAGCGUCCUUUGCACUACCGCUUCGCCGACCGCUUCACCAGCACCGGGACGACACAGUGGCAUCAACGGGAGAGUGUUGUGGCCGUGUACAACUGGACUGCAGUGCAGGAUUCCCUGCUCAGCUGGCACUGGUGGGAGGUUACCGAGUGCCAGGGCCGGCUUGGAUUCAGUCCAACAGACCUUACUGCUUCAUUAAUACAAAAAUGCUUUAUUAGUUAGCUUCAUUUAAAUGGGCAUGACUAUCACGUAUCUGAUACAUAUUCCUAUUUUAGCGGUUAGAGCACAUGUAGUUAUGACAAAUGGGAAAAGAGGUUUUCACUAUUCCAUAAAUUUCAAAAGCUAACCUUUGUUUUUUCAGUUUCACUCGGUUCCUCUUUCUUUGAUAUAUAUAGCUUUGGAAUAUAAACUGGGUCUUGAUGGGAAGAAGAUACAGUCUGUAAUUAUAUGUUCUCGCACAGCACAAGAAACCACAGGUCUGCAUUUUUUAUCCCUAUCAAUCAACUAAAUGGGGACCUGAAAAUGGAUCAUACAUAGCAUUGCAAUUUUCCUUACACCAGAAUCAGUAAGGGCACAUAAAGAUUCCAGGCUUUGUUUUUGUUCAAGGCAUCAAGUUUCAUGUCCCUUUUUUGCAUUAUGAUUUUUGGUGCCCGGGGAAUUUAGAUGGCUGACCUAUUAUCCACCAACGCUCUUGCAUUUCAGAUAUGUGUAUAACUGGCUAACGUUUUCUAUGAUUGUUCUUUUUUUAGGAUCCCCUCUCUGCUCAGAGAGUUAAAUUUCCUGUUCCUUCUUAUAUUGAAUUUUUGUGUACCUUGAUUGUUUUAAUGGCUGGCUCUGAAGUGCAAGUAUUCUCAGUAGUAUUUGCUGGAAAUCUUAGUGAUUAUGUGAUUUAUUUGAUAAAUACUAUGAAGUUCCUUUUGUGUUA